CCUAACCUCACUUUUUAUUCUUUUUAUUUGUUCUUCUCACCGAGAAUGAUGAAACUCAGACAGAGCGUCAUGAUAAGCAUUCUCUUUUUAAUCUAUCUUUCUCUUUCACUCUCAUAUUUUGUGACAGUGUCGGCCCUGAAUCGGUCUUUACCUGCGGCCUCCGUAGUGUCCGUGGCAACGAGCUCACGCGAGUCCGAACAAAGGCGAAGAGGCGGCUGCGUGUUGAUAGUAAGGGUAAGGAAGAAGGGGAGGAAGAAGAGGAGAAGUAGGAGGCGAUAACAGCCGAUAUACUCUUCGUUCCGUGUACAGACGGCGUUGCUAUCGCGGAACUCUCCUCGCUUGGAAACCACUAUCGUAGCACCAACGCACCUUCUUCCAUGUUGCAUGCAUGCAAAUUCAACGCCAAGUACCACUAGCAUUGACGUUCACUUACGACAAAUGCAACACAACACGCCAUAUCCAAGCACAAGAAAAAGAUGUCACCGGUAACCGUGCACUCGCAUCGGGUUUUCACGUAUCUUACGGCACAACCUCCGGUCCAGGACUGAUGCACCACAGCUACAACGCGCACGGACCCUAGUCACGGUUACCACAAGAAAGAGAAAGAGAGAAUCGUGACGCGCGAUGCUCGGUCAGGCGCCAUUUACAGAAACGCACGCAUCGCUACUAGUUCUCUCUAACUCUAUGUCUAUCUCACUCUUACUACUUUCAUUUCCCCCACUUAUCUACUCGCAACGUAUCUCCCUCUCUUUACUCUAGUUCCAUCCUUUUUUAUCUUAUUCUUUCUUCCCCCCCUCUGACGUAUCUAUCCGACCUAUCCCAAUUACAGCGAACGUCCUUGAGGUGACUAACACCUUGUCGUCCACUGCUUGUGGGAACGAAGAGGGAUGCAUGAAAGCGCUGUUGAAGAGGUGGAAAAGAUGGUGAUAGUAGUGGAAAUGAUGGAGGUGGUGAAGAAGAAAAAGGAGGAGUUGGAGAACAAAGACAGAAAGAAAAGAGCGGCGAAUGCCGCAUGUAACGCUUAGUCUUUCUUGAAGCUGUAAGUAAAAGGAGAGGGAGUAGGAUGAACCAUGCUUCUUAAGUGUCCGUACGUGAGAACGAGGAGGUUAUUCACUGUUCUACGGAAAUGUUCGAGCAUGAUGAUGUUGCCACAGUAAUGUGCCUUUUAUAAUCUCUGAUAAUUAUAUGAAUUCAUUCGUAAUAUUUAUGAUAU